rnacentral:rRNA from 1 species
AGCCGCCGCGGUAAUUCAUGAGUGACUAGCGUUGUUCGUAUUUAAUAGGUGUAUAGGAUGUGUAGAUAAAAAAAAAAAUUUAAGAAUACUAAAACAGUUAACUCGGUUUUUCUUAAAUAUGUUUUUUUUUUGAAUUUUUUGGAGGUAAUUAGAGUUUUUUAGGGAGCGGUUAAAUGUAACUAACUAAAAAAGAUUUCCAAUAUCUAAUGAUAAUUACCACAUAAAAUUGACAUUGAGACAUUAAAGUGUAGAUACCGAAGAGGUUUAGUAACCCUACUAGCCUACACUAUAAACUAUGGGUAUUAUCUAAAUUAGUUUAGCUUACGUAAAAUACCCCACCUGGGCAGUAAUGUCGCAAGUCUGAAACUUAACAAAAUUGGCGGGAAUUUGUUAAAACAAUGGAACAUGUGGUUUAAUGCGAUGAUCCGCGAAAAAUCUUACCAGCGAUAAAUUAAUAUUUUUUAAUUUUAAGUUAUUAUAUGCUUUAUAGUGUAAAGUAUAAAAAUAUAUGAGGUAUUGCAUGGCUGUCGUCAGUCCGUGUUUUGAGAUGUAUUCUAACGGGCACAACCCUUUUUUUAAAUUUUAAAUUUAUAGUUGUUUUAUUAUAGGUUUUUUUUAAAAAAUCGUAUAGAAAUUAUGAAGCAAUAGCAUUAUAAUUUGUAUAUUUUUUCAAGGCUGAAGUCAAGUCCUUAUGAUCCGUAUACGCUGGGCUACACAUGUGUUACAAAGGGUGAUACAAAAAAGAAACUAAAGAGUGAUCUGUAGUAAAUCUUUAAAAACACCCCUAGUUCGGAUUAUUUUUUGAAACUCAAAAAUAUGAAGUUGGAUUGUUAGUAAUCGUAGAUCAUAACGCUACGGUGAAGGAAUUAUCAAAUUUUGCACACACCGCCCGU